rnacentral:rRNA from 1 species
CCUACGGGGGGCAGCAGUGGGGAAUAUUGGGCAAUGGGCGCAAGCCUGACGCAGCAACGCCGCGUGAAGGAAGAAGGCUUUCGGGUUGUAAACUUCUUUUAAGGGGGAAGAGCAGAAGACGGUACCCCUUGAAUAAGCCACGGCUAACUACGUGCCAGCAGCCGCGGUAAUACGGAGGUGGCAAGCGUUGUCCGGAUUUACUGGGUGUAAAGGGCGUGCAGCCGGGGAGACAAGUCAGAUGUGAAAUCCACGGGCUCAACCCGUGAACUGCAUUUGAAACUGUUUCCCUUGAGUGUCGGAGAGGUAAUCGGAAUUCCUUGUGUAGCGGUGAAAUGCGUAGAUAUAAGGAAGAACACCAGUGGCGAAGGCGGAUUACUGGACGAUAACUGACGGUGAGGCGCGAAAGCGUGGGGAGCAAACAGGAUUAGAUACCCCUGUAGUC